AUUGAACGCUGGCGGAAUGCUUUACACAUGCAAGUCGAACGGUAGCACAGAGAGCUUGCUCUCGGGUGACGAGUGGCGGACGGGUGAGUAAUGUCUGGGAAACUGCCCGAUGGAGGGGGAUAACUACUGGAAACGGUAGCUAAUACCGCAUAACGUCGCAAGACCAAAGUGGGGGACCUUCGGGCCUCACACCAUCGGAUGUGCCCAGAUGGGAUUAGCUAGUAGGUGGGGUAAUGGCUCACCUAGGCGACGAUCCCUAGCUGGUCUGAGAGGAUGACCAGCCACACUGGAACUGAGACACGGUCCAGACUCCUACGGGAGGCAGCAGUGGGGAAUAUUGCACAAUGGGCGCAAGCCUGAUGCAGCCAUGCCGCGUGUAUGAAGAAGGCCUUCGGGUUGUAAAGUACUUUCAGCGGGGAGGAAGGCGGUGAAGUUAAUAGCUUCACCGAUUGACGUUACCCGCAGAAGAAGCACCGGCUAACUACGUGCCAGCCGCCGCCGUAA
rnacentral:rRNA from 1 species